UACGGAGGGUGCAAACGUUAUCCGGAAUCACUGGGCGUAAAGAGCAUGUAGGUGGUUUAGUAAGUGGGCGAUUAAAGACCGAUGCUUAACAUCGGGACUGUUACCCAUACUGCUAGACUUGAAGGAGACAGGGGUAAGCGGAACUUUAGGUGUAGGGGUGAAAUCCGUAGAUAUCUAAAGGAACACCAAUGGCGAAGGCAGCUUACUGGGUCUUUCUUGACACUGAGAUGCGAAAGCGUGGGUAGCAAACAGG
rnacentral:rRNA from 1 species